rnacentral:lncRNA from 1 species
AUGUCCCUCCUCCUGCUUUCUGUUGAUAUAAUUCCGCUGGAUGGCGCUGUCACAUCAGGGACCUGGCACUGCUUAUUGACAGCUGCUAUUUGGAAUUCUCAUGCUUCUGCAACUCUGAAACAUCACUGGACACAUCUAUACUCAUAGCUCUACACUGAAACACACACCAGCUCCUGUGGGAUGAUGUGAAGAGAUGAUAGCAGAACCUACAGUCACCUCCAGGUCCUCAGUACAGAAGUAAGCAACGUUCUUCUUAACACUAUUUCAUAGAUGGUGUUUUAACUUUCCACUCUCUGAAACCUCUUAAUCAAGCUGAUUAUGGAAAGAUGGUAGCCAGGGUGCCUGACUGUUUCUGUUAUAAACAAUGCAAAUGUAUUGUCUUAGCAAAUAAGACAACAAAUU